CAAUAGCGUAUAUUAAAGUUGUUGCAGUUAAAAAGCUCGUAGUUGGAUUUCUGGUGGGAGCGAUCGGUCUGGCGCUUAGCGCGAGUACUUGCAUCGUCUCCGGCCAUCCUUGGGGAGAGUCUGUCUGGGAUUAAGUUGUCGGGCAGAGGAUCCUCAUCGUUUACUGUGAAAAAAUUAGAGUGUUCAAAGCAGGCUUAUGCCGUUGAAUAUAUUAGCAUGGAAUAAUAAGAUAGGACUUUGGUACUAUUUUGUUGGUUUGCGCACCAAAGUAAUGAUUAAUAGGGACAGUUGGGGGUAUUCGUAUUCCGUUGUCAGAGGUGAAAUUCUUGGAUUUACGGAAGACGAACUACUGCGAAAGCAUUUACCAAGGAUGUUUUCAUUAA
rnacentral:rRNA from 1 species